CAGAAUGUAAUCAGUGUUCUCAAGGGAGGAGAUUAUGAUGUAACAGAGCUUCUUUUCAUCUCAAAGGAAGGCCAUUAAGAAGGGCCAGUCAGGACAGGUGAUGCUGGCAGGAAGGGAGCCAGCCUGCGACGUGCUGGGAAGACAGGCAGAGAGACUAUACGUUCAAAGGGUGUGAGGCAGGCAUGAGUUUGCAGAAAGUGUGCUAAGGGCCUGGAGCAGAGCGUGGAGCAGAUCCUUCAUGAAUGGCUGCUGACAUCAUCUUGGUGGGCAUCAGUGCUAUUCUGGAGGCCCAAAUCACACAUGAUUCCGUGAAAGAAACUCUGUGCUGGCCAGAGGAUGCACUCACUCUCCAGGCUUUCCUGCAUGGGCCCUCACCAUGGAGUCCUGGAUACUUAGGGCAUCUGGUUGACCACAUGCUUGGGAGAGCACCAAAGAAGGUCCUGGUUUUCAAGCCUCCAGCUUCUCCUUAGAAAGAGUUGACUACCUGUCUGGGCUCCAACUUUUCUGGCUGCUACCAGAGGGUCUGGCCUCUAAACCAUCUGUGUCAAAGAACUGACAGGGCCUGACAUUCACUGGGACCCUAGGCUAGGGGUGACAGAGAGCAAAGCAAAAGUUUGAAAGAGUAUGCAGUCUGAAUGAGCAUGCAGACCUUUGCCACAGCUCCCCUUCCCAGCUCAGUGCAGAGCAAGUAGGAGAUAAACUUCUGCUCUUAGCUUCUCUGUGAGGAGAGAUGAAAUGGACCACACAUCUAGCACCCCAACUUUUCUGACAACUACUAGAAGGACUGACUCCUGACUCACCUGUCUCAGGGCACUGAUGGUACUUGGCACACUCUAGUCUCCUGGGGCCACCAAGAACAAGAACAGCAUUUUGGACAAACACACUGGUUUGAGAGGCACCCAGACUCUCUGACUGGGCUGUGAGGAGGCUCAUCUGUGAAGACUGAGGGAGGUGGCUGUUUUAUCAAAUGUGCAGAAACCAACACAGAGAGUCAAAGACAAUGAACAAACAGGAAAUAUGCCAUAAAUAAAAGAACAAGAUAAAUCUUCAGAAACUGACCCAAACAGAAUGGAGAUAUGUGAUUUACCAGACAAAAAAUCAAAAGACCUGUCACAAAGAUGCUCAGUGAGGUCAGGAGAGCAAUGCAUGAAUAAAGUGAGAAUUUCAACCAAAAAGGUAGAAAAUAUUAAAAAGUGCCAAACAGAAAUCACGGAGCUGAAGAAUAUAAUAAAAGAACAGAAAAAUUUAAUAGAGGGGUUCAAUAGCAGACUAGGUGAACUGAAAGAAAGGAUUAGUGAACUCAAGGACUGGUCAUUGGCAAUCAUUCAGUCACAGCAUUAAAAAGAAAAAAGAAUGAAGGGCCAGGCACAGUGGCUCACACCUGUAAUCCCAACACUUUGGGAGGCUGA
rnacentral:lncRNA from 1 species